AUGGCAAUUGUCCAUACAUACGGGAAGCCUGACAUCUUAUUGACCAUGACUUGCAAUCCUAAAUGGGAAGAGAUAACGAAUGAGUUGCUGCCUGGUCAGACGGCGCAAGACCGACCUGAUAUUGUGGCUCGCGUGUUCUACGGCAAGCUAGAGGCUAUGAAGGACAUGUUGUUCAAGAAGCAUAUCCUGGGUGUUGUUGUCGCAUAUGUAUACGUAGUCGAGUUCCAAAAAAGGGGCCUC
rnacentral:rRNA from 1 species